rnacentral:rRNA from 1 species
AAGUCGUAACAAGGUUUCCGUAGGUGUACCUGCGGAAGGAUCAUUA